AUUGAACGCUGGCGGCAUGCCUUACACAUGCAAGUCGAACGGUAACAGGUCUUCGGAUGCUGACGAGUGGCGAACGGGUGAGUAAUACAUCGGCACGUGCCCGAUCGUGGGGGAUAACGAAGCGAAAGCUUUGCUAAUACCGCAUACGAUCUACGGAUUAAAGCCGGGGACCGCAAGGCCUUGCGCGAACGGAGCGGCCGAUGACAGAUUAGGUAGUUGGUGGGAUAAAAGCUUACCAAGCCGACGAUCUGUAGCUGGUCUGAGAGGACGACCAGCCACACUGGGACUGAGACACGGCCCAGACUCCUACGGGAGGCAGCAGUGGGGAAUUUUGGACAAUGGGCGAAAGCCUGAUCCAGUCAUGCCGCGUGCAGGAUGAAGGCCUUCGGGUUGUAAACUGCUUUUGUACGGAACGAAAAGACUCUGGUUAAUACCUGGGGUCCAUGACGGUACCGUAAGAAUAAGCACCGGCUAACUACGUG
rnacentral:rRNA from 1 species